CCCCCCAUGGCGGAGUGGUGACCGCUGGGUGAUCUCUCUUCGGAGGCUGCAGGUUCGACCCCUGCUGGGGGCC
rnacentral:tRNA from 1 species